rnacentral:rRNA from 1 species
AGUGAACGCUGGCGGUAGGCCUAACACAUGCAAGUCGAACGGCAGCACAGUAAGAGCUUGCUCUUACGGGUGGCGAGUGGCGGACGGGUGAGGAAUACAUCGGAAUCUACUUUUUCGUGGGGGAUAACGUAGGGAAACUUACGCUAAUACCGCAUACGACCUACGGGUGAAAGCAUGGGAUCUUCGGACCUUGCGCGAUUGAAUGAGCCGAUGUCGGAUUAGCUAGUUGGCGGGGUAAAGGCCCACCAAGGCGACGAUCCGUAGCUGGUCUGAGAGGAUGAUCAGCCACACUGGAACUGAGACACGGUCCAGACUCCUACGGGAGGCAGCAGUGGGGAAUAUUGGACAAUGGGCGAAAGCCUGAUCCAGCAAUACCGCGUGGGUGAAGAAGGCCUUCGGGUUGUAAAGCCCUUUUGUUGGGAAAGAAAAGCAGCAGGUUAAUACCCCGCUGUUCUGACGGUACCCAAAGAAUAAGCACCGGCUAACUUCGUG